rnacentral:rRNA from 1 species
UUAUGGCUCAGGAUGAACGCUAGCGACAGGCCUAACACAUGCAAGUCGAGGGGCAGCACAAGGAGCAAUCUGAGGUGGCGACCGGCGCACGGGUGAGUAACACGUAUGCAACCUGCCUGUAAGCGGGGAAUAACCCGUUGAAAGACGGACUAAUACCGCAUAAUACUAAAUUACUGCAUGGUAAUUUAUUUAAACAUUUAUGGCUUACAGAUGGGCAUGCGCAUGAUUAGCUAGUUGGAGAGGUAACGGCUCCCCAAGGCAACGAUCAUUAGGGGUUCUGAGGGAAGGUCCCCCACACUGGUACUGAGACACGGACCAGACUCCUACGGGAGGCAGCAGUGAGGAAUAUUGGUCAAUGGACGAGAGUCUGAACCAGCCAAGUCGCGUGCAGGAAGAAAUGUCCUAUGGAUUGUAAACUGCUUUUGCAGGGGAAUAAAGUGCAUCACGUGUGAUGUUUUGUAUGUACUCUGCGAAUAAGGAUCGGCUAACUCCGUGCCAGCCGCCGC